GCAGUCGAACGCGAACGUUUCCUUCGGGAAACUAGUAGAGUGGCGCACGGGUGAGUAACGCGUAAGUAAUCUACCCUCGCAUCUGGGAUAACCCACCGAAAGGUGUGCUAAUACCUGAUACGUCUGGAAUUAUACUUUGAAUCUAGAGAAAGGUGGCCUCUUCAUGAAAGCUACUGUGCGGGGAGGAGCUUGCGUACCAUUAGCUAGUUGGUAGGGUAACGGCCUACCAAGGCGAUGAUGGUUAGCGGGUCUGAGAGGAUGAUCCGCCACACUGGAACUGAAACACGGACCAGACUCCUACGGGAGGCAGCAGUGAGGAAUAUUGCGCAAUGGGGGCAACCCUGACGCAGCGACGCCGCGUGGAUGAUGAAGGCCUUCGGGUUGUAAAAUCCUGUCAGAUGGGAAGAAGUGCUAUAUGGUUAAUAUCUGUAUAGUUUGACGGUACCAUCAAAGGAAGCACCGGCUAACUCCGUGCCAGCAGCCGCGGUAAUACGGAGGGUGCAAGCGUUGUUCGGAAUUACUGGGCGUAAAGCGCGCGUAGGCGGCUAUUCAAGUCAGAUGUGAAAGCCCGCGGCUCAACCGUGGAAGUGCAUUAGAAACUGUGUAGCUUGAGUACUGGAGGGGGUAGUGGAAUUCCCGGUGUAGAGGUGAAAUUCGUAGAUAUCGGGAGGAAUACCGGUGGCGAAGGCGACUACCUGGCCAGAUACUGACGCUGAGGUGCGAAAGCGUGGGGAGCAAACAGGAUUAGAUACCCCUGGUAGUCCACGCCGGUAAACGAUGUCAACUAGGUGUUGGGAUG
rnacentral:rRNA from 1 species